rnacentral:tRNA from 1 species
GCCCGAGUAGCACAGUUGGCAGCGCAUUCGGCUAACAUCUGAAAGGUCGGUGGUUCGAGUCCAUCCUUGGGCACCA